GAUGAGCACCGAGCUAACUGCCUCCGGGGAGGUAGCCAAGUAAAGAUACAGGAUCUCUCCGACCUCCGGCCUUACAAGUAGGGGCGGAGAAGCCAGGUAUUUCUUCAGUUCCUCGAAGGCUCGUCGGCACUCGUCCGGCCAAGAGAAAUGCUUUGCCUGGCACAGGGUUUUGAAGAACGGGAGGCAUCUCUCGACCGACUGAGAAAUGAAUCGGUUGAGCGCGAUGAUCCUUCCGUUGAGCUGCUGCACCUCCUUUUUGGUGUCCGAAUGUCGCAUGUCGAUAUGGCC
rnacentral:lncRNA from 1 species